ensembl:snoRNA
CUCCCUCUAUCUGACAGGCCUGGGGUAGUUACUGCUGCUAAGGUUUCCACUGCAGACGCAAGAGAAAAAGAGUCCUUGUGCUUUCUGUCUGAUUGUGACAGGCCAGAUUGAAUGAGGGAAGACAGGG